rnacentral:rRNA from 1 species
GAUGAACGCUGACAGAAUGCUUAACACAUGCAAGUCGAUGGGGAAGUGGUGCUUGCACCAUGGCAACCAUGGCAGACGGGUGAGUAACGCGUAAGGGACUUACCUGCAGGACUGGGAUAACAGGGGGAAACUCCUGACAAGACCGGAUAAUGUCAUGGAGCUGCAUGGCUUUAUGAUGAAAGGAGACGCCUGCGGAGAGCCUUGCGUCCUAUUAGCUAGUUGGUGAGGUAAUGGCUCACCAAGGCGAAGAUAGGUAGCCGGCCUGAGAGGGUGGACGGCCACAAGGGGACUGAGAUACGGCCCUUACUCCUACGGGAGGCAGCAGUGGGGAAUAUUGGACAAUGGGGGCAACCCUGAUCUAGCAAUUCUGUGUGCACGAAGAAGGUUUUCGGAUUGUAAAGUGCUUUCAGCAGGGAAGAAGUAAGUGACGGUACCUGCAGAAGAAGCGACGGCUAAAUACGU